UUAGUACGNCCGCCCAGUGGCUGAAUUCGGGCUAUAAGAUACCCUUAGUAGUCCACGCCCGUAACCGAUGAAUANUAGGUGUCAGGAGGCAAAGCUUUNUGGUGCCGCAGCAAACGCAAUAAGUAUUCCACUGGGGGAGUACGUUCGCAAGAAUGAAACUCAAAGGAAUGACGGGGGACCCGCACAAGCGGUGAGCAUGUGGUUAAUUCGAAGCAACGCGAAGAACCUUACCAAGUCUUGACAUCCCGGUGACCAGAGGGUAACGCUUCUUUCUCUUCGGAGCACUGGAGACAGGUGGUGCAUGGUUGUCGUCAGCUCGUGUCGUGAGAUGUUGGGUUAAGUCCCGCAACGAGCGCAACCCUUAUCUUUAGUAGCCAGCGAGUAGAGUCGGGCACUCUAGAGAGACUGCCAGGGAUAACCUGGAGGAAGGUGGGGAUGACGUCAAAUCAUCAUGCCCCUUAUGAUUUGGGCUACACACGUGCUACAAUGGCGUAAACAAAGGGAAGCGAGCGUGUGAAUGUAAGCAAAUCUCAAAAAUAACGUCUCAGUUCGGAUUGUAGUCUGCAACUCGACUACAUGAAGCUGGAAUCGCUAGUAAUCGCGAAUCAGCAUGUCGCGGUGAAUACGUUCCCGGGUCUUGUACACACCGCCCGUCACACCAUGGGAGUUGGUAACGCCCGAAGCCAGUGACCCAACCCGAAAGGGAGGGAGCUGUCGAAGGUGGGACCGAUAACUGGGGUGAAGUCGUAACAAGG
rnacentral:rRNA from 1 species